UAGGGAAUUUUGCGCAAUGGGGGAAACCCUGACGCAGCAACGCCGCGUGAAUGAUUAAGCCCUUCGGGGUGUAAAGUUCUGUCAGUGGGGACGAAAGAUGACGGUACCCACAGAGGAAGCACCGGCUAACUCCGUGCCAGCAGCCGCGGUAAUACGGAGGGUGCGAGCGUUGUCCGGAAUCAUUGGGCGUAAAGAGUUCGUAGGUGGCACGUUAAGUCUGGUGUUAAAUGCAGAAGCUCAACUUCUGUUCGGCACUGGAUACUGGCGAGCUUGAAUGCGGUAGAGGUAAAGGGAAUUCCUGGUGUAGCGGUGAAAUGCGUAGAUAUCAGGAGGAACAUCGGUGGCGUAAGCGCUUUACUGGGCCGUAAUUGACACUGAGGAACGAAAGCCAGGGUAGCAAAUGGG
rnacentral:rRNA from 1 species